GACGUAGGGGGCGAGCGUUGUCCGGAUUUAUUGGGCGUAAAGAGCUCGUAGGCGGCUCAGAAAGUCGGGUGUGAAACCUCCAGGCUCAACCUGGAGACGCCACCUGAUACUGCUGUGACUUGAGUCCGGUAGGGGAGUGGGGAAUUCCUGGUGUAGCGGUGGAAUGCGCAGAUAUCAGGAGGAACACCGAUGGCGAAGGCAGGUCUCUGGGCCGAUACUGACGCUGAGGAGCGAAAGCGUGGGGAGCGAACAGG
rnacentral:rRNA from 1 species